AUGCUUUACACAUGCAAGUCGAACGUGAAAGGGGGGCAACCCCCAAGUAGAGUGGCGAACGGGUGAGUAAUGCAUCGGAACGUACCCAGUAGUGGGGGACAACCUCGAGAAAUCGAGGCUAAUACCGCAUACGUCCUACGGGAGAAAGCGGGGGACCGCAAGGCCUCGCGCUAUUGGAGCGGCCGAUGCCGGAUUAGCUAGUUGGUGGGGUAAAGGCCUACCAAGGCGACGAUCCGUAGCUGGUCUGAGAGGAUGAUCAGCCACACUGGGACUGAGACACGGCCCAG
rnacentral:rRNA from 1 species